UAGCUUUACAUUGCCUCUGGGUAUUAGAUGUGUAGGAUAGGCCGGAGACUUAGAAGGAGGCACGCCAGUGUUUCUGGAGUCGCUGUUGAAAUACGGCCCUUUUGGUAUUUGGAUGCUAACUCGACAACGAGGACAAUGUAUGGUGGGUAGUUUGACUGGGGUGGUCGCCUCCAAAAAAGUAACGGAGGCUUCUAAAGGUACCCUCAGGCCGAUUGGUAACCGGUCGUAGAGUGUAAUGGUAUAAGGGUGCUUGA
rnacentral:rRNA from 1 species